AGUGUAAGAGUAUCUGGCGAGGACCUGAGAGUUCGUGGAGGCGGCUUACAGGGGGUGUACAAGACAGCAGAGUUCCACUUCCAUUGGGGCAGUACGGAUGACUUGGGGAGUGAACAUGCCCUAGAUGGCAUCAAGUUUCCUUUGGAGAUGCAUGUGGUGAACUAUGCUGAGAAAUACGGGACUAUCAAACAAGCCAUGAAUAAACCUGACGGUCUAGCUGUCCUGGGUGUAUUCUUCCAGCUGAGUGAAGUGGACAACCCGAACUUUGUUGCACUGGAUGAGGCACUCAAGCAUGUCCAUAAAGCAGG
rnacentral:sRNA from 1 species